AUUGAACGCUGGCGGCAUGCCUUACACAUGCAAGUCGAACGGCAGCACGGGAGCAAUCCUGGUGGCGAGUGGCGAACGGGUGAGUAAUAUAUCGGAACGUGCCCAGUAGUGGGGGAUAGCCCGGCGAAAGCCGGAUUAAUACCGCAUGAGACCUGAGGGUGAAAGCGGGGGAUCGCAAGACCUCGCGCUACUGGAGCGGCCGAUAUCAGAUUAGCUAGUUGGUGGGGUAAAGGCCUACCAAGGCAACGAUCUGUAGUUGGUCUGAGAGGACGACCAGCCACACUGGGACUGAGACACGGCCCAGACUCCUACGGGAGGCAGCAGUGGGGAAUUUUGGACAAUGGGCGCAAGCCUGAUCCAGCAAUGCCGCGUGCAGGAAGAAGGCCUUCGGGUUGUAAACUGCUUUUGUCAGGGAAGAAAUCCUCUGGGUUAAUACCUCGGGGGGAUGACGGUACCUGAAGAAUAAGCACCGGCUAACUACGUGCCAGCCGCCGCCGUAACAC
rnacentral:rRNA from 1 species